rnacentral:rRNA from 1 species
CCUACGGGAGGCAGCAGUGGGGAAUAUUGCACAAUGGGGGAAACCCUGAUGCAGCGACGCCGCGUGAGUGAAGAAGUAUUUCGGUAUGUAAAGCUCUAUCAGCAGGGAAGAAAAUGACGGUACCUGAUUAAGAAGCCCCGGCUAACUACGUGCCAGCAGCCGCGGUAAUACGUAGGGGGCAAGCGGUAUCCGGCUUUACUGGGUGUAAGGGGAGCGUAGACGGCAGCACAAGUCUGGAGUGAAAUGCCGGGGCUUAACCCCGGAACUGCUUUGGAAACUGUGCAGCUAGAGUGCAGGAGAGGUAAGUGGAAUUCCUAGUGUAGCGGUGAAAUGCGUAGAUAUUAGGAGGAACACCAGUGGCGAAGGCGGCUUACUGGACUGUAACUGACGUUGAGGCUCGAAAGCGUGGGGAGCAAACAGGAUUAGAUACCCGUGUAGUC